GAGUUUGAUCCUGGCUCAGAACGAACGCUGGCGGCGUGCCUAACACAUGCAAGUCGAACGAGAAAGGGGCUUCGGCCCUGAGUAAAGUGGCGCACGGGUGAGUAACACGUGGGUAACCUGCCUCUAAGAUUGGGAUAACCUGUCGAAAGACGGGCUAAUACCGAAUAAGACCACAGUUUCCUCGGAAGCAGGGGUUAAAGGUAGCCUCUAUUUAUAAGCUAUCACUUAGAGAUGGGCCUGCGCACCAUUAGCUAGUUGGUAGGGUAACGGCCUACCAAGGCAAAGAUGGUUAGCUGGUCUGAGAGGAUGAUCAGCCACACUGGAACUGAGACACGGUCCAGACUCCUACGGGAGGCAGCAGUGGGGAAUAUUGCGCAAUGGGCGAAAGCCUGACGCAGCAACGCCGCGUGAGUGAUGAAGGCCUUC
rnacentral:rRNA from 1 species